GGAUGUGAGGCCAAUCUGGCUGCCACAUCUGUCACCCCAUUGAUCGCCAGAGUUGAUUUGGCUGAUCUGGCUGGCUAGGUGGGUGACCCCUUCCUCCCUCAAACUCCAUGUGCAUCCCUCCCGAAGAGGCAAGCCCAGUCGAAGAGGACCACCCCCCCAAUAAAGGAGGACACUUCUUUGAUCAAGGGUAUAUGAGUAGCUGCGCUCCCGUGCUAGAACUCCAGACAAGCUCUCAAGAAAGUGGCCACUUGUGAACCAGGAACCUGACCCCACCCAGACAUCAAAUUUGCCAGCAUCUCAAUCUUU
rnacentral:snRNA from 1 species